rnacentral:rRNA from 1 species
AACGAACGCUGGCGGCAUGCCUAACACAUGCAAGUCGAACGAGACCUUCGGGUCUAGUGGCGCACGGGUGCGUAACGCGUGGGAACCUGCCCUUAGGUUCGGAAUAAAUCCCCGAAAGGGGUGCUAAUACCGGAUAAUGUCUUCGGACCAAAGAUUUAUCGCCUUUGGUUGGGCCCGCGUUGGAUUAGCUAGUUGGUAGGGUAAAAGCCUACCAAGGCGACGAUCCAUAGCUGGUCUGAGAGGAUGAUCAGCCACACUGGGACUGGGACACGGCCCAGACUCCUACGGGAGGCAGCAGUGGGGAAUAUUGGACAAUGGGCGAAAGCCUGAUCCAGCAAUGCCGCGUGAGUGAUGAAGGCCUUAGGGUUGUAAAGCUCUUUUACCCGGGAUGAUAAUGACAGUACCGGGAGAAUAAGCUCCGGCUAACUCCGUG